rnacentral:rRNA from 1 species
CGGACGGGUGAGUAAUGUCUGGGAAACUGCCCGAUGGAGGGGGAUAACUACUGGAAACGGUAGCUAAUACCGCAUAACGUCGCAAGACCAAAGAGGGGGACCUUCGGGCCUCUUGCCAUCGGAUGUGCCCAGAUGGGAUUAGCUAGUAGGUGGGGUAACGGCUCACCUAGGCGACGAUCCCUAGCUGGUCUGAGAGGAUGACCAGCCACAUUGGAACUGAGACACGGUCCAG